GGGCAGGGCGGCAGCUACCAUGCAGUCGAGCGGGGAAAGGUAGCUUGCUACCUAACCUAGCGGCGGACGGGUGAGUAAUGCUUAGGAAUCUGCCUAUUAGUGGGGGACAACAUUCCGAAAGGAAUGCUAAUACCGCAUACGUCCUACGGGAGAAAGCAGGGGACCUUCGGGCCUUGCGCUAAUAGAUGAGCCUAAGUCGGAUUAGCUAGUUGGUGGGGUAAAGGCCUACCAAGGCGACGAUCUGUAGCGGGUCUGAGAGGAUGAUCCGCCACACUGGGACUGAGACACGGCCCAGACUCCUACGGGAGGCAGCAGUGGGGAAUAUUGGACAAUGGGGGGAACCCUGAUCCAGCCAUGCCGCGUGUGUGAAGAAGGCCUUUUGGUUGUAAAGCACUUUAAGCGAGGAGGAGGCUACUAGUAUUAAUACUACUGGAUAGUGGACGUUACUCGCAGAAUAAGCACCGGCUAACUCUGUGCCAGCAGCCGCGGUAAUACAGAGGGUGCGAGCGUUAAUCGGAUUUACUGGGCGUAAAGCGUGCGUAGGCGGCUGAUUAAGUCGGAUGUGAAAUCCCUGAGCUUAACUUAGGAAUUGCAUUCGAUACUGGUCAGCUAGAGUAUGGGAGAGGAUGGUAGAAUUCCAGGUGUAGCGGUGAAAUGCGUAGAGAUCUGGAGGAAUACCGAUGGCGAAGGCAGCCAUCUGGCCUAAUACUGACGCUGAGGUACGAAAGCAUGGGGAGCAAACAGGAUUAGAUACCCUGGUAGUCCAUGCCGUAAACGAUGUCUACUAGCCGUUGGGGCCUUUGAGGCUUUAGUGGCGCAGCUAACGCGAUAAGUAGACCGCCUGGGGAGUACGGUCGCAAGACUAAAACUCAAAUGAAUUGACGGGGGCCCGCACAAGCGGUGGAGCAUGUGGUUUAAUUCGAUGCAACGCGAAGAACCUUACCUGGUCUUGACAUAGUAAGAACUUUCCAGAGAUGGAUUGU
rnacentral:rRNA from 1 species